GAUCCUGGCUUAGGAUGAACGCUAGCGACAGGCUUAACACAUGCAAGUCGAGGGGCAGCAUAAAAGUAGCAAUACUUGGUGGCGACCGGCGCACGGGUGAGUAACGCGUAUGCAACCUACCUAUCAGAGGGGAAUAACCCGGCGAAAGUCGGACUAAUACCGCAUAAAACAGGGGCACCGCAUGGUGAUAUUUGUUAAAGAAAUUCGCUGAUAGAUGGGCAUGCGUUCCAUUAGGUAGUUGGUGAGGUAACGGCUCACCAAGCCGACGAUGGAUAGGGGAACUGAGAGGUUGGUCCCCCACACUGGUACUGAGACACGGACCAGACUCCUACGGGAGGCAGCAGUGAGGAAUAUUGGUCAAUGGGCGGGAGCCUGAACCAGCCAAGUCGCGUGAAGGAAGAAGGAUCUAUGGUUCGUAAACUUCUUUUGCAGGGGAAUAAAGUGCAGGACGUGUCCUGUUUUGUAUGUACCCUGAGAAUAAGGAUCGGCUAACUCCGUGCCAGCAGCCGC
rnacentral:rRNA from 1 species